AUUCCAGCUCCAAUAGCGUAUAUUAAAGUUGUUGCGGUUAAAAAGCUCGUAGUUGGAUUUCUGCCGAGGAUGACCGGUCCGCCCUGUGGGUGUGCAUCUGGCUCAGCCUUGGCAUCUUCCUGAAGAACGUAGCUGCACUUGACUGUGUGGUGCGGUAUUUAGGACAUUUACUUUGAGGAAAUUAGAGUGUUUCAAGCAAGCGCACGCUUUGAAUACAUUAGCAUGGAAUAAUAAGAUAGGACCUCGGUUCUAUUUUGUUGGUUUCUAGAGCUGAGGUAAUGAUUGAUAGGGAUAGUUGGUGAAAUUCUUGGAUUUGUUAAAGACGGACUACUGCGAAAGCAUUUGCCAAGGAUGUUUUCAUUG
rnacentral:rRNA from 1 species